GGUUAAGCGACUAAGCGUACACGGUGGAUGCCCUGGCAGUCAGAGGCGAUGAAGGACGUGCUAAUCUGCGAUAAGCGUCGGUAAGGUGAUAUGAACCGUUAUAACCGGCGAUUUCCGAAUGGGGAAACCCAGUGUGAUUCGUCACACUAUCAUUAACUGAAUCCAUAGGUUAAUGAGGCGAACCGGGGGAACUGAAACAUCUAAGUACCCCGAGGAAAAGAAAUCAACCGAGAUUCCCCCAGUAGCGGCGAGCGAACGGGGAGGAGCCCAGAGCCUGAAUCAGUGUGUGUGUUAGUGGAAGCGUCUGGAAAGGCGCGCGAUACAGGGUGACAGCCCCGUACACAAAAAUGCACAUACUGUGAGCUCGAUGAGUAGGGCGGGACACGUGGUAUCCUGUCUGAAUAUGGGGGGACCAUCCUCCAAGGCUAAAUACUCCUGACUGACCGAUAGUGAACCAGUACCGUGAGGGAAAGGCGAAAAGAACCCCGGCGAGGGGAGUGAAAAAGAACCUGAAACCGUGUACGUACAAGCAGUGGGAGCCUCUUUUAUGGGGUGACUGCGUACCUUUUGUAUAAUGGGUCAGCGACUUAUAUUCUGUAGCAAGGUUAACCGAAUAGGGGAGCCGAAGGGAAACCGAGUCUUAACUGGGCGUUAAGUUGCAGGGUAUAGACCCGAAACCCGGUGAUCUAGCCAUGGGCAGGUUGAAGGUUGGGUAACACUAACUGGAGGACCGAACCGACUAAUGUUGAAAAAUUAGCGGAUGACUUGUGGCUGGGGGUGAAAGGCCAAUCAAACCGGGAGAUAGCUGGUUCUCCCCGAAAGCUAUUUAGGUAGCGCCUCGUGAAUUCAUCUCCGGGGGUAGAGCACUGUUUCGGCAAGGGGGUCAUCCCGACUUACCAACCCGAUGCAAACUGCGAAUACCGGAGAAUGUUAUCACGGGAGACACACGGCGGGUGCUAACGUCCGUCGUGAAGAGGGAAACAACCCAGACCGCCAGCUAAGGUCCCAAAGUCAUGGUUAAGUGGGAAACGAUGUGGGAAGGCCCAGACAGCCAGGAUGUUGGCUUAGAAGCAGCCAUCAUUUAAAGAAAGCGUAAUAGCUCACUGGUCGAGUCGGCCUGCGCGGAAGAUGUAACGGGGCUAAACCAUGCACCGAAGCUGCGGCAGCGACACUAUGUGUUGUUGGGUAGGGGAGCGUUCUGUAAGCCUGCGAAGGUGUACUGUGAGGUAUGCUGGAGGUAUCAGAAGUGCGAAUGCUGACAUAAGUAACGAUAAAGCGGGUGAAAAGCCCGCUCGCCGGAAGACCAAGGGUUCCUGUCCAACGUUAAUCGGGGCAGGGUGAGUCGACCCCUAAGGCGAGGCCGAAAGGCGUAGUCGAUGGGAAACAGGUUAAUAUUCCUGUACUUGGUGUUACUGCGAAGGGGGGACGGAGAAGGCUAUGUUGGCCGGGCGACGGUUGUCCCGGUUUAAGCGUGUAGGCUG
rnacentral:rRNA from 1 species